GACGAACGCUGGCGGCGUGCUUAACACAUGCAAGUCGAACGGAAAGGCCCUGCUUUUGUGGGGUGCUCGAGUGGCGAACGGGUGAGUAACACGUGAGUAACCUGCCCUUGACUUUGGGAUAACUUCAGGAAACUGGGGCUAAUACCGGAUAGGAGCUCCCGCUGCAUGGUGGGGGUUGGAAAGUUUCGGCGGUUGGGGAUGGACUCGCGGCUUAUCAGCUUGUUGGUGGGGUAGUGGCUUACCAAGGCUUUGACGGGUAGCCGGCCUGAGAGGGUGACCGGCCACAUUGGGACUGAGAUACGGCCCAGACUCCUACGGGAGGCAGCAGUGGGGAAUAUUGCACAAUGGGCGGAAGCCUGAUGCAGCAACGCCGCGUGCGGGAUGACGGCCUUUGGGUUGUAAACCGCUUUCGCCUGUGACGAAGCGUGAGUGACGGUAAUGGGUAAAGAAGCACCGGCUAACUACGUG
rnacentral:rRNA from 1 species